AACCUACGGGAGGCAGCAGUGAGGAAUAUUGGUCAAUGGGUGCGAGCCUGAACCAGCCAAGUCGCGUGAGGGAAGACUGCCCUAUGGGUUGUAAACCUCUUUUGUCAGGGAGCAACGCCGGCUAUGUGUAGCCGGACUGAGAGUACCUGAAGAAAAAGCAUCGGCUAACUCCGUGCCAGCAGCCGCGGUAAUACGGAGGAUGCGGGCGUUAUCCGGAUUUAUUGGGUUUAAAGGGUGCGUAGGUGGUUAAUUAAGUCAGCGGUGAAAGUUUGUGGCUCAACCAUAAAAUUGCCGUUGAAACUGGU
rnacentral:rRNA from 1 species